GAUGAACGCUGGCGGCGUGCCUAAUACAUGCAAGUCGAGCGAAUGGAUUAAGAGCUUGCUCUUAUGAAGUUAGCGGCGGACGGGUGAGUAACACGUGGGUAACCUGCCCAUAAGACUGGGAUAACUCCGGGAAACCGGGGCUAAUACCGGAUAACAUUUUGAACCGCAUGGUUCGAAAUUGAAAGGCGGCUUCGGCUGUCACUUAUGGAUGGACCCGCGUCGCAUUAGCUAGUUGGUGAGGUAACGGCUCACCAAGGCAACGAUGCGUAGCCGACCUGAGAGGGUGAUCGGCCACACUGGGACUGAGACACGGCCCAGACUCCUACGGGAGGCAGCAGUAGGGAAUCUUCCGCAAUGGACGAAAGUCUGACGGAGCAACGCCGCGUGAGUGAUGAAGGCUUUCGGGUCGUAAAACUCUGUUGUUAGGGAAGAACAAGUGCUAGUUGAAUAAGCUGGCACCUUGACGGUACCUAACCAGAAAGCACCGGCUAACUACGUGCCAGCAGCCGCAGUAA
rnacentral:rRNA from 1 species